rnacentral:rRNA from 1 species
UACGGGGGGAGCAAGCGUUGUUCGGAUUUACUGGGCGUAAAGGGCGCGUAGGCGGCCACCUCAAGUCGACUGUGAAAUCUCUGGGCUUAACCCAGAACGGUCAGCCGAUACUGCGGGGCUAGAGUGCAGAAGGGGCAACUGGAAUUCUCGGUGUAGCGGUGAAAUGCGUAGAUAUCGGGAGGAACACCAGUGGCGAAGGCGGCUUCCUGGCCUGUUCUUGACGCUGAGGCGCGAAAGCUAGGGGAGCAAACGGG